CUUAAAAAUAAGAUAAGUGCAAUUAUUUGAAUUUUACACUAUAAUAAAUUAUCUUUAUUCAUCUUCUUCUGAUCUUCCUCUGAUCUUUCUCCUAUGCUUGAUUCUAUUCCUGAUUUUGUUGAGGUUAUUAUGUUAUUCAAUACUUUAACACCCUCCCUCAAAUUAUGAGGAAAAAGACAGACACACAGUUUGUCUCUGAGAAAGUUAAAUUGAUUUGCAGCAUGGCUUUUUGUAAAGACAUCGGUAAUUUAGUCUUGUAUGGAGACAGGAUUAGAAGCUAAUAUAAUAACACUGACAUUGUCACACCAUAACCUUGAAGUAGUAGACAAUGUGAUAUGUAAUUCUUGAAGAAGCAUGCGAAGCUAGUACAAUUCAGCAAUUGUAUAAGCCAUGUUUCUAUAUUCAGCUUCUGUGCUAGAUCGAGAGACAACAUUCUGCUUUUUGCUGCACCAAGAGAUAAGAUUAGAGCCAAGAAACACACCAUAACCAGUGGUGCUCCGCCUAACAUCAGGAUUGCCUGCCCAUUUAGAGUCACAGUAAGCAUGCAUUGCCAUUAUUCCUAGAGUGUAAAGAAGACCAAAUUCGACAGUACCUUUGAGAUAGCGUAAGACACGUUUAACAGCUAUCCAGUGAAGUUCACGCGGAGAGUGCAUAAACUGACAUAAUUGGUUUACUGAGUAGGAAAUAUCUGGUCUUAUGAUUGUGCAGUAUUAAGGAGCCCCCACUACUCGUCGAUAUUCAGUUGGAUUCUCUAACAGGUCACCAACAGUAUAUGAGAGUUUGGAGCUAGAAGAUGAUGGACAAUGAAGAGGCUUUGCACCAAGCAUAUAGGUACUGUUGAGCAAGUCAGUGAUAUACUUUGUUUGUCGCAAAUGUAAACCAACUGGGUUCCUAAUUACUGCAACACCGAGAAAGAAGUUUAAUUCACCCAAGUCUUUAAUUGGAAACACAUUCUAUAGUUGAUCAAUAAAAUAAUAAACUGCUUGAUUAUUGGAACCUGUGAUUAUUAUAUCAUCAACGUAGACUAACACAAAAACACGUAAAGUGUCAGAAUUGUGUAUAAACAAUGAAUAGUCCAUUUUGGAUUCUAAAAAACCAAAGUCAAUCAACUGUUGUGAGA